rnacentral:tRNA from 1 species
CUGAUAGGGCUGCAAUAGCAGGUAAUUUUGAUAUAAUUAUAUUUAAAGAUAUUUCUUUCAUCAGU